CACAAACUCUCAGCCUUUUUUAAACUCACCACGAUUCUUAAUUCCAUGCAUCCUAAUCUAUCUACAUGGAUUACCAUUGAACUUUAAAAACUCAAAGACAAUAUAAGGUGAAGGUCACUCUCCUCCACUGUUCUUUUGGCCGAAACACCUGGGAGACAAUUGGCAAGGACUGCCCAAAAUGGUGACAUGUCAUCAUCAAGGGAAUGGGCCAAAUGGAAAAAAACAGACGUCUAGAGGCAGAGAUCAGAUGUCAAAUGAGGUGGGAAGACAUGAUUGAGUUUGGAUCAAUGUGGACAUUACACCUAUAAACAGCGUGGAUUUGAGAGACUCCAAAAACUCAUGGCAAGUAUUUCUGUUCUUGUUCUGCUCAGCACACAUCACCAAGUUCCAACUAAAUGAGAAAAAAUGUGUAUAUUUUCUUCUAACAGUAUCAUUCGAGAUGUACCAACAUUUGCUGUACUGAUUCACUUAGCGGUCAACUAAAAUGUAGCAGCUAAUUGCAACUCAUUUUCUUGUAUUUCUUUCCAUUGUUUAUACAUGACUCAUUAGAACCAAGAACUUGUAACUAUACCAGGGCCAGAGCUACGCUAACUACGCUGCUAAAGUUGCAUGGUAUUUUGAUAUCAAUUUUUCUCUUUAAUAAGACCGUGCCAAAGUCUUUUACUUUUCUUAUAGCAGAACACCAGCAUUUAUUAGUGAUAUCGCCCUGAGUUAGUGAUAUCUUCCUGGUAUAGGCCACAACAGAAUUUAUCAUUUUCUGCUUUCUGAAUGGUGAAAAUGUGCUUGCUAUUGUUAAGUAUAAUAAAUAUGUCUAGUUCUGAUUUUGAUGUUGUCAAAGAAGUAAUGUACAAUUGAAGAAACUUGCUACAU